AUUGAACGCUGGCGGCAGGCUUAACACAUGCAAGUCGAGCGCCUCGCAAGGGGAGCGGCAGACGGGUGAGUAACGCGUGGGAAUCUACCGAGCCCUAAGGAAUAGCUCCGGGAAACUGGAAUUAAUACCUUAUACGCCCUUUUGGGGAAAGAUUUAUCGGGGUUUGAUGAGCCCGCGUUGGAUUAGCUAGUUGGUGGGGUAAAGGCCUACCAAGGCGACGAUCCAUAGCUGGUCUGAGAGGAUGAUCAGCCACAUUGGGACUGAGACAAGGCCCAAACGCCUACGGGAGGCAGCAGUGGGGAAUAUUGGACAAUGGGCGCAAGCCUGAUCCAGCCAUGCCGCGUGAGUGAUGAAGGCCUUAGGGUUGUAAAGCUCUUUCACCGGUGAAGAUAAUGACGGUAACCGGAGAAGAAGCCCCGGCUAACUUCGUGCCAGCCGCCGCUGUAAAAC
rnacentral:rRNA from 1 species